rnacentral:lncRNA from 1 species
GUGGCUGUGUGUUCGUGUAGGUGUGUGUUUCUGCCUCAAGAUAUGUGUGUUGGGUGUUGUUGUUUGGCGGGGAACCGAGAGAAACCACCGCCACCCAACUAUGAGGUGGUGGUUGUUAUCACAAAUUCUGCCGCCUGUCGCCGUCCCUUCUACUAUCCGAUGUCGCUGCCUUAUCUUGUCACCACCAGCCACCAUGGGAGGUGGCUGUGUGUUCGUGUAGGUGUGUGUUUCUGCCUCAAGAUAUGUGUGUUGGGUGUUGUUGUUUGGCGGGGAACCGAGAGAAACCCCCGCCACCACUGUGAGGUGGUGGCUGUCGUCCAAAAACUUUUGUUGUCGCCGCUAUGGGCCACCAGGAGGGUGGCUAGGGUGUAUCUCGCAAAAUCAGAAGCAUGAUUGCGUGUGUGGGGUUCAUUUUUCUGAUGCGUUUUCGACGGAGGAGUCGCAAACCAUCAUGUGCGGCUGCCAAACGCUAUGACCGUCGUCAUGUUGCUAAUGUACGCCACGUUGCUAUUGUUGCCUG